CCUGAGUUCAAGCGUUUCUCUCGCCUCAGCCUCCCGAGUAGCUGGGAUUACAGGCACCCGCCAUCAUGUCCAGCUAAUUUUUGUAUAUUUGUAGAGACGGGGUUUCACCAUGUUGGCCAGACUGGUCUUGAACUCCUGACCUCAGGUGAUCUGCCCGCCUCAGCCUCCCAAAGUGCUAGGAUUACAAGUGUGAGCCACCACGCCCGGCCCCAAUAUUCUUUCUUACUAGACACUGUGUAAGCUAAUUAUUCAGCAAGUAUUUUGCACUGAACUCUAAAUAGGUAAGUAUUUUGUGUCCAUUUUACAGACAAGAGAAAUAAAAUAGGUAAAGUAUUUCCCCAAAGCUAUGAUAAAUGAAUCCCAUAGCUAGAAAUGGCAGAAAACCCAUGGAAACUUCUAUGGGGAGUGGAUGUCUGCCUUACCUUGGCACAAUGCUUGGUUCUCAGAUAUCAUUUCAGUGACAUUGCCAAAUGGGAGAAACCAUGUCUGGUACACGGGACUCAAGCUGCCUCAAAAUAUCCUGAAUGCAUUUUUUCAGGGGAGAAAAUCCAUUUGAAUAAGAAUAGCUAGUUAUAGCUUAUUAUGUGCCAGACACUAUUCAAAGUGUUUAAUGUGUAUUAACUUCUCAAAACCACUCUAUAAGUUAGGUACUAUGAUUUCCAUCUCCAUUUUACAGACGAGGGAACUGAGCUGUCAAAACUAAGUGACUUGAUUGAGGCCAUGCAGCUGGCGAGGGGAGGACCAGGAUCUGAACCCAACUGGGUCUCCCAAGCCUGGGCCACUGAACCAUUUCACCUCUUGGAAAAACUUAAUGGUCAGAGUGGCCCACCCAGUCCAUGGACAGCAUGGAGUGGUAUGGUGGAAGAGGAGGGAAGAAAACCUGUGUAUUGUAAGUCAUAUUCUUCUAUGGUGUGAAGGUUAACGUAAGUUUUAAGAAAGUUUUUUUUUUUAAUUUUAUUAUAUGAUCUUGCUCUAAAGGGAUGUAAAUUCAGAUGCUGAAUUGCACACAUCCUUUCUCUUUCAUAUUUUCAAUAUUGAACGUAAUUUCAAUAUUUAACAUAAAACAAUGAGUACAUUGUCUCCACCUCAUUGUUUUUGGGUGGUGUUUGUGAGGAGCCUGCGUUCUUUGGAAGGAAGACCUUUCAGAUGACCUGACCAGUCCUCCUCUUCAGAACCCGGAUGCUGGCGAAGCAGCAUGGACUGACUCAAGGUAUACUGCUCUAAAUCCUACUGUAAGGCUUCCUCAUCAAGUUACCUACCUUCUAAUUGAGUCUCCUCAUCGGCUGAAAUGUUUACUCACAUGGAGUUAAUGACAGUGUCUGCAUUAGAGGAUUUAGUCAAGAUCAAAUUAGAUAUUGCAAUGGAGUGCUGAGGACAACAGCUGGCAUGCUUAAAAUGCUUGCUAAAUGUGU
ensembl:lncRNA LINC01102 long intergenic non-protein coding RNA 1102